UCCCCGAGCUCCCGGGGCUCGCGGGCUGAGACGCUUCUCUCUCCUCGCACGUCGCCGCGGCCCUUUCUCUCCGCAGCACCUCGGAGUCCCUCGGCCCGGUGGCGGCGGCAGCGGGGACCCGAGCAGCGGCGAGCGGCCUCGAGGAUGAAGUGCAAGCCGAACCAGACGCGGACCUACGACCCGGAGGGGUUCAAGAAGCGGGCGGCGUGCCUGUGCUUCCGGAGCGAGCGCGAGGACGAGGUGCUGUUAGUGAGUAGCAGUCGGUACCCGGACCGCUGGAUCGUGCCGGGCGGGGGCAUGGAGCCCGAGGAGGAGCCGGGCGGUGCUGCAGUCCGCGAGGUGUACGAAGAGGCGGGAGUCAAGGGGAAGUUAGGCCGGCUCCUGGGCAUUUUCGAGGAGAACCAAGAUCGCAAGCACAGAACGUACGUGUAUGUACUGACUGUCACUGAGAUUCUGGAGGAUUGGGAAGAUUCGGUUAGCAUUGGGAGGAAGCGAGAGUGGUUCAAAAUCGAAGAUGCGAUCAAGGUUCUCCAGUGCCACAAGCCCGUGCAUGCCGAAUAUCUGCAAAAACUAAAGCUGGGCGGUUCCCCAACCAAUGGAAACUCCAUGGCCCCGUCCCUGCCAGAGAGCGAUCCCUAAUAUUUUUGCAGAUAAAAACCCCUUCCACUUGAAAUGCUGUCACAAAUACUUUGGAGCCUUAACUUGUUAAUCUUAGAGAUGAACAGCAAAGAUAUCCAGGAUUGCUUUGAAAGAGUCAUUGAUGUGAACCACUGAUGAAUGGAAUUGGCAAGUAUAGAAAGUUCCCUCUGUCUUUUCUGAAUCCUCAGCAAGGUACCAUGUCUGCAGCCUCUGACCCUCAUGUGCUCUUCUGGGGACAGUGAUUUUCAACUGGUAAACAAGGACACCACCACUCUGGACUCAGGAAAUGGAACCCUGUUCUCACCCUUCUACCUUUUUACCCCAGAAUGUGCCCUUAUUCAUCCCUAAUUUCCUACAGUACUCCAGAGACAAGGCUGUAAUUUUUGAUGAGAUUUUAUUGACGAUUACCAGAUUAUGUGACGCAAAGAACACAAUUUACACCUACUGCACAGUUCAUAUCUUUUCUAGGUUCCACUGCUAGACCAAUUUCCUAAUGCAGCCUGACUCCAAAUGGCCUAGGAAAGUCCCUCAACCCCCCACUCCCCAUCACUACCCAAAACCUGAGAGUUUGCAGUUUCAAAUCAUGGAUAAACUGAUCCUCACCAUGGAGAAGGGAA